GACGAACGCUGGCGGCGUGCCUAAUACAUGCAAGUAGAACGCUGAAGCUUGGUGCUUGCACCGAGCGGAUGAGUUGCGAACGGGUGAGUAACGCGUAGGUAACCUGCCUGGUAGCGGGGGAUAACUAUUGGAAACGAUAGCUAAUACCGCAUAAAAUGGAUUAUCGCAUGAUAAUCGAUUGAAAGGUGCAAAUGCAUCACUACCAGAUGGACCUGCGUUGUAUUAGCUAGUUGGUGGGGUAACGGCUCACCAAGGCGACGAUACAUAGCCGACCUGAGAGGGUGAUCGGCCACACUGGGACUGAGACACGGCCCAGACUCCUACGGGAGGCAGCAGUAGGGAAUCUUCGGCAAUGGACGGAAGUCUGACCGAGCAACGCCGCGUGAGUGAAGAAGGUUUUCGGAUCGUAAAGCUCUGUUGUAAGAGAAGAACGAGCGUGAGAGUGGAAAGUUCACACUGUGACGGUAUCUUACCAGAAAGGGACGGCUAACUACGUGCCAGCAGCCGCGGUAAUACGUAGGUCCCGAGCGUUGUCCGGAUUUAUUGGGCGUAAAGCGAGCGCAGGCGGUUAGAUAAGUCUGAAGUUAAAGGCUGUGGCUUAACCAUAGUACGCUUUGGAAACUGUUUAACUUGAGUGCAAGAGGGGAGAGUGGAAUUCCAUGUGUAGCGGUGAAAUGCGUAGAUAUAUGGAGGAACACCGGUGGCGAAGGCGGCUCUCUGGCUUGUAACUGACGCUGAGGCUCGAAAGCGUGGGGAGCAAACAGG
rnacentral:rRNA from 1 species